UACGAAGGGGGCUAGCGUUGCUCGGAAUCACUGGGCGUAAAGCGCACGUAGGCGGAUCUUUAAGUCAGGGGUGAAAUCCCGGAGCUCAACUCCGGAACUGCCUUUGAUACUGGGGAUCUUGAGUUCGAGAGAGGUGAGUGGAACUGCGAGUGUAGAGGUGAAAUUCGUAGAUAUUAGGAAGAACACCAGUGGCGAAGGCGGCUCACUGGCCCGGUACUGACGCUGAGGUGCGAAAGCGUGGGGAGCGAACAGG
rnacentral:rRNA from 1 species